GGUUAAGCGACUAAGCGUACACGGUGGAUGCCCUGGCAGUCAGAGGCGAUGAAGGACGUGCUAAUCUGCGAUAAGCGUCGGUAAGGUGAUAUGAACCGUUAUAACCGGCGAUUUCCGAAUGGGGAAACCCAGUGUGUUUCGACACACUAUCAUUAACUGAAUCCAUAGGUUAAUGAGGCGAACCGGGGGAACUGAAACAUCUAAGUACCCCGAGGAAAAGAAAUCAACCGAGAUUCCCCCAGUAGCGGCGAGCGAACGGGGAGCAGCCCAGAGCCNNNNNNNNNNNNNNNNNNAGUGGAAGCGUCUGGAAAGGCGCGCGAUACAGGGUGACAGCCCCGUACACAAAAAUGCACAUAUUGUGAGCUCGAUGAGUAGGGCGGGACACGUGGUAUCCUGUCUGAAUAUGGGGGGACCAUCCUCCAAGGCUAAAUACUCCUGACUGACCGAUAGUGAACCAGUACCGUGAGGGAAAGGCGAAAAGAACCCCGGCGAGGGGAGUGAAAAAGAACCUGAAACCGUGUACGUACAAGCAGUGGGAGCACGCUUAGGCGUGUGACUGCGUACCUUUUGUAUAAUGGGUCAGCGACUUAUAUUCUGUAGCAAGGUUAACCGAAUAGGGGAGCCGAAGGGAAACCGAGUCUUAACUGGGCGUUAAGUUGCAGGGUAUAGACCCGAAACCCGGUGAUCUAGCCAUGGGCAGGUUGAAGGUUGGGUAACACUAACUGGAGGACCGAACCGACUAAUGUUGAAAAAUUAGCGGAUGACUUGUGGCUGGGGGUGAAAGGCCAAUCAAACCGGGAGAUAGCUGGUUCUCCCCGAAAGCUAUUUAGGUAGCGCCUCGUGAAUUCAUCUCCGGGGGUAGAGCACUGUUUCGGCAAGGGGGUCAUCCCGACUUACCAACCCGAUGCAAACUGCGAAUACCGGAGAAUGUUAUCACGGGAGACACACGGCGGGUGCUAACGUCCGUCGUGAAGAGGGAAACAACCCAGACCGCCAGCUAAGGUCCCAAAGUCAUGGUUAAGUGGGAAACGAUGUGGGAAGGCCCAGACAGCCAGGAUGUUGGCUUAGAAGCAGCCAUCAUUUAAAGAAAGCGUAAUAGCUCACUGGUCGAGUCGGCCUGCGCGGAAGAUGUAACGGGGCUAAACCAUGCACCGAAGCUGCGGCAGCGACACUAUGUGUUGUUGGGUAGGGGAGCGUUCUGUAAGCCUGUGAAGGUGUGCUGUGAGGCAUGCUGGAGGUAUCAGAAGUGCGAAUGCUGACAUAAGUAACGAUAAAGCGGGUGAAAAGCCCGCUCGCCGGAAGACCAAGGGUUCCUGUCCAACGUUAAUCGGGGCAGGGUGAGUCGACCCCUAAGGCGAGGCCGAAAGGCGUAGUCGAUGGGAAACAGGUUAAUAUUCCUGUACUUGGUGUUACUGCGAAGGGGGGACGGAGAAGGCUAUGUUGGCCGGGCGACGGUUGUCCCGGUUUAAGCGUGUAGGCUGAUUUUCCAGGCAAAUCCGGAAAAUCAAGGCUGAGGCGUGAUGACGAGGCACUACGGUGCUGAAGCAACAAAUGCCCUGCUUCCAGGAAAAGCCUCUAAGCAUCAGGUAACAUCAAAUCGUACCCCAAACCGACACAGGUGGUCAGGUAGAGAAUACCAAGGCGCUUGAGAGAACUCGGGUGAAGGAACUAGGCAAAAUGGUGCCGUAACUUCGGGAGAAGGCACGCUGAUAUGUAGGUGAAGCGACUCGCUCGUGGAGCUGAAAUCAGUCGAAGAUACCAGCUGGCUGCAACUGUUUAUUAAAAACACAGCACUGUGCAAACACGAAAGUGGACGUAUACGGUGUGACGCCUGCCCGGUGCCGGAAGGUUAAUUGAUGGGGUUAGCGGUAACGCGAAGCUCUUGAUCGAAGCCCCGGUAAACGGCGGCCGUAACUAUAACGGUCCUAAGGUAGCGAAAUUCCUUGUCGGGUAAGUUCCGACCUGCACGAAUGGCGUAAUGAUGGCCAGGCUGUCUCCACCCGAGACUCAGUGAAAUUGAACUCGCUGUGAAGAUGCAGUGUACCCGCGGCAAGACGGAAAGACCCCGUGAACCUUUACUAUAGCUUGACACUGAACAUUGAGCCUUGAUGUGUAGGAUAGGUGGGAGGCUUUGAAGUGUGGACGCCAGUCUGCAUGGAGCCGACCUUGAAAUACCACCCUUUAAUGUUUGAUGUUCUAACGUUGACCCGUAAUCCGGGUUGCGGACAGUGUCUGGUGGGUAGUUUGACUGGGGCGGUCUCCUCCUAAAGAGUAACGGAGGAGCACGAAGGUUGGCUAAUCCUGGUCGGACAUCAGGAGGUUAGUGCAAUGGCAUAAGCCAGCUUGACUGCGAGCGUGACGGCGCGAGCAGGUGCGAAAGCAGGUCAUAGUGAUCCGGUGGUUCUGAAUGGAAGGGCCAUCGCUCAACGGAUAAAAGGUACUCCGGGGAUAACAGGCUGAUACCGCCCAAGAGUUCAUAUCGACGGCGGUGUUUGGCACCUCGAUGUCGGCUCAUCACAUCCUGGGGCUGAAGUAGGUCCCAAGGGUAUGGCUGUUCGCCAUUUAAAGUGGUACGCGAGCUGGGUUUAGAACGUCGUGAGACAGUUCGGUCCCUAUCUGCCGUGGGCGCUGGAGAACUGAGGGGGGCUGCUCCUAGUACGAGAGGACCGGAGUGGACGCAUCACUGGUGUUCGGGUUGUCAUGCCAAUGGCACUGCCCGGUAGCUAAAUGCGGAAGAGAUAAGUGCUGAAAGCAUCUAAGCACGAAACUUGCCCCGAGAUGAGUUCUCCCUGACUCCUUGAGAGUCCUGAAGGAACGUUGAAGACGACGACGUUGAUAGGCCGGGUGUGUAAGCGCAGCGAUGCGUUGAGCUAACCGGUACUAAUGAACCGUGAGGCUUAACCUU
rnacentral:rRNA from 1 species